AUUCCCCAAUUUAUGCGUUCUCCUCUUCUCCUUCCAUCUCUCCCUGCCAACGUUUCAAUCUCCCGAUCUCCCCAUCACCACAAACACACAUGGAACGGAUGGCGGCAUGCAUCCAUCUUCAUCACCCAUCGAGGGAUUUUAUUGCCCAUCUCCUUCUGGUGAUGGGAAGAAGGGCGGCUGCAUCUUCUUCUUCCCUAGCGCCGGCUACCUCAGCAAGCACCACGGAUGGCAUCUCCACCACUUCCCCGACGGUGAGGCACCUGCCGUGGAGGUGGACUUGCAGGCGCUCCUCCACGCCAACGACGGCGAUCUGUCCCGCUCCCACCUCAACCACGCGAGGCGUCAUCGGCAUCCGGCCGUAAGGGGAAGACGACCCGUCGCCGUUCGUAAGAAAAAGGCCAUGUUGAGAACCACAUGGUCACCACUCGAGGCAUUCAACUCUCGGCAGCACCCUUAUACCACUCCAACUGGUAUCGUUUCAACGGGUUCCUGUUCUUCUAAAUCAAAGAUAAUAAGGCCAGCCAGACAUAAGAAAGUUUCUACAAGGAGAUGGUGUGUAGUUAUUUUGUUCCCGUUAAUCUAUCUUAUGCCGGAAUAUGUAUGUGUGAAUUUUCUUUGCAGUUUAUGGACGCCAAUGGAAAGUAUACCUGAACAUGAGGUCUGCUUUGAGAUUAGGAAGCAUUGUGGAGAAAUGGCCUAACUAACAAGAUUCGGUACCACUUUAUGUUUUACAGUGUGCGGUAUGGAUGGCUAGGUGGUCGUAAGGAUGGUCUUGGUAAACAAUUGUCUGAUGAUCUUGAAUCUUUGUUUUCUCAUGUCAACAAGGUAGAUGAUGAAUAUUCAAACUGGCUGUAAGUCAGGCGGACCAAUGUAAAUUGGCUAAAAAUAUAUUUUACGAGUGUGAUUUCUGUAAC